GAGAGUUAAGGGUUGACUGGGUAAAAUCUGUCUUGUGCUCCAUCAUGAAAACACAACUCAGAGCUGGUUUUUGAUGUACAUCUAAGAGAAGUAACAGACAACUCAAAAGAUUUGGGCCACCAGAACUGGACUCACAGAAAACACUGGACUUCCCCGGAAGCUACUUGAAAAACAUGACCCCUGGCCGGCCUAUGUCACCUAUACCUCUCAGACAGUGAAAAGACUCAUUGAGAAAAGCAAAACUAGAGAACUGGAAUGCAUGCGUGCCCUCGAGGAAAGACCCUGGGCAUCAAGGCAGAAUAAACCUUCCAGCGUCAUUCAGCCGAAAAGGAGGAAGUCUUCCAAGUCUUCUGGCAAAGCUGUGUUCAGGGACACGCUGUCAGAAUCCACGUUAUCAAUGUGGGGCGCUUAUUCGGUAUUGGCCAUGGCUCCUACCAUGAUCCCAGAACCCACACACUUACAUGCGGAUU
rnacentral:lncRNA from 1 species